rnacentral:misc_RNA from 1 species
UACGUAGGUGGCAAGCGUUGUCCGGAAUUAUUGGGCGUAAAGCGCGCGCAGGCGGCCUCUUAAGUCUGAUGUGAAAGCCACCGGCUCAACCGGGGAGGGCCAUUGGAAACUGGGCGGCUUGAGUAUAGGAGAGACGAGUGGAAUUACACGUGUAGCGGUGAAAUGCGUAGAGAUGUGGCGGAACACCAGUGGCGAAGGCGACUCUUUGGGCGUUAACUGACGCUGAGGCGCGAAAGCGUGGGGAGCAAACAGG